rnacentral:lncRNA from 1 species
AGAUACUCAACGGGUUUGCCCUUUCGGGUGUGCCGUUGCAGCUCUCUUAAGAUCAUCUAAACCAAAGAUCCGGGAAAGAACGGUCACCGAAGUCAAUAGCUCAAAAGAGAUAAUCCAACCUAAGCGGAAUAACUCCACCUGGAAGGACUCUCUCAAAUGAACCUCGUCCGGCUGUGGUAUGUCACAUCUCCGCAUCAUGUCGUACAACAUGUGAAGAGACAUGAGACCACGCUAAUCCUAGGUGUAUACUCAGGCCUGGGUAUUGGGCCCCACUUAGAACACCCACCCCAAAU